CUGCUCACUUUGGCAGCACAAAUACUAAAGUUGGAACAAUACAGGAAAGAUUAGCAUGGCCCCCUACCCAAGGAUGACAUGCAAAUUCAUGAAGCAUUCCAUAUAUUU